UCAUAUUGACAAUGGACCUCAUUCACCGAAACGUACGGUCACGUGACAACCAUCAACUAUUCACUUGUGUGUAUAGAAUAGUAUAGAUUAGUACUGGAAAGAUGGGGAAGCAAUGCGUUGCAUUUGACUAAUAAUUAUGAACAUAAAAAAGAAUGGAAAAAAAAAAAAAAAGGUUUUCAUCGUUUUCCUGUGAACAAUCCAAAGCUAUGUAAAGAAUGAAUGGGUUGUCAAACUGAAACGAAAAAACUUCACUGCAAGUGUACACUCUGUAAUAUGUUCAGAGCAUUUUGAGGAGGACUGUUUUAUUUACCAGCCUUUUACAAAUCGCAGACUUCUAAAGCCUGGUGCUGUGCCGACCAAGUUUUCUUUUUCCAAAAGUACACCAAGCCGAAAAAAGACCAAAUAUGAAUUUAUACAACCUCUUUUACCCCAGGACACCACCAUUGAGGAGAAGACUAGAGAUGUCACUGUGCAAACUAAUGAAGAUUUUAUUACAGAUCUUCUAAAGAGGGUAAAUACUUUGGAACCAGGCAGAAGUUGCUCAGUUGAAAUUGUGUUAUGACUCUUUGAAACUAAAAGGAGAUAACUUUCUUUGUUUAAGUAGCUGUUUAGAAGACAAAUUAUUGUUAUGACUUAUGAAUUUUAGCAACAUUUAAAUUUAAAAUUGGUGUGUAUAUAUUUUAUUAAUA